GAUUUGUUGGACGCUAGCGGCGGAUGGGUGAGUAACACGUGGGCAAUCUGCCCUAAAGACUGGGAUACCACUUGGAAACAGGUGCUAAUACCGGAUAACAACAUGAAUCGCAUGAUUCAAGUUUGAAAGGCGGCGCAAGCUGUCACUUUAGGAUGAGCCCGCGGCGCAUUAGCUAGUUGGUGGGGUAAAGGCCUACCAAGGCAAUGAUGCGUAGCCGAGUUGAGAGACUGAUCGGCCACAUUGGGACUGAGACACGGCCCAAACUCCUACGGGAGGCAGCAGUAGGGAAUCUUCCACAAUGGACGCAAGUCUGAUGGAGCAACGCCGCGUGAGUGAAGAAGGUCUUCGGAUCGUAAAGCUCUGUUGUUGGUGAAGAAGGAUAGAGGCAGUAACUGGUCUUUAUUUGACGGUAAUCAACCAGAAAGUCACGGCUAACUACGUGCCAGCAGCCGCGGUAAUACGUAGGUGGCAAGCGUUGUCCGGAUUUAUUGGGCGUAAAGCGAGCGCAGGCGGAAUGAUAAGUCUGAUGUGAAAGCCCACGGCUCAACCGUGGAACUGCAUCGGAAACUGUCAUUCUUGAGUGCAGAAGAGGAGAGUGGAACUCCAUGUGUAGCGGUGGAAUGCGUAGAUAUAUGGAAGAACACCAGUGGCGAAGGCGGCUCUCUGGUCUGCAACUGACGCUGAGGCUCGAAAGCAUGGGUAGCGAACAGGAUUAGAUACCCUGGUAGUCCAUGCCGUAACGAUGAGCGCUAGGUGUUGGGGGACUUUCCGGUCCUCAGUGCCGCAGCAAACGCAUUAAGCGCUCCGC
rnacentral:rRNA from 1 species